GUUGCNUGGCUGUCGUCAGCUCGUGUCGUGAGAUGUUGGGUUAAGUCCCGCAACGAGCGCAACCCUCAUCCUUAGUUACCAUCAGGUAAUGCUGGGGACUUUAAGGAAACUGCCAGUGAUAAACUGGAGGAAGGUGGGGAUGAUGUCAAGUCAUCAUGGCCCUUAUGGAGUGGGCUACACACGUGCUACAAUGGUGGCUACAAUGGGCUGCAAAGUCGCGAGGCUAAGCCAAUCCCUUAAAAGCCAUCUCAGUUCGAAUUGUACUCUGCAACUCGAGUGCAUGAAGUUGGAAUCGCUAGUAAUCGUGGAUCAGCACGCCACGGUGAAUACGUUCUCGGGUCUUGUACACACUGCCCGUCACGCCAUGGGAAUUGGUUUC
rnacentral:rRNA from 1 species